UACGUAGGGAGCAAGCGUUGUUCGGAUUUACUGGGCGUAAAGGGCGCGUAGGCGGCCUGUCAAGUCAACUGUGAAAUCUCCGGGCUUAACUCGGAACGGUCAGUUGAUACUGUCAGGCUAGAGUGCAGAAGGGGCAAUCGGAAUUCUUGGUGUAGCGGUGAAAUGCGUAGAUAUCAGGAGGAAUACCGGUGGCGAAAGCGACUCUCUGGACGGCAACUGACGCUGAGGCACGAAAGCGUGGGGAGCAAACAGG
rnacentral:rRNA from 1 species